CUGCGGAAGGAUCAUUAAUUAUGUUAAAGCGCCUUACCUUAGGGUUUCCUCUGGGGUAAGUGAUUGCUUCUACACUGUGAAAAUUUGGCUGAGAGACUCAGACUGGUCAUGGGUAGACCUAUCUGGGGUUUGAUCGAUGCCACUCCUGGUUUCAGGAGCACCCUUCAUAAUAAACCUAGAAAUUCAGUAUUAUAAAGUUUAAUAAAAAACAACUUUUAACAAUGGAUCUCUUGGUUCUCGCAUCGAUGAAGAACGUAGCAAAGUGCGAUAACUAGUGUGAAUUGCAUAUUCAGUGAAUCAUCGAGUCUUUGAACGCAGCUUGCACUCUAUGGUUUUUCUAUAGAGUACGCCUGCUUCAGUAUCAUCACAAACCCACACAUAACAUUUGUUUAUGUGGUAAUGGGUCGCAUCGCUGUUUUAUUACAGUGAGCACCUAAAAUGUGUGUGAUUUUCUGUCUGGCUUGCUAGGCAGGAAUAUUACGCUGGUCUCAGGAUCUUUUUCUUUGGUUCGCCCAGGAAGUAAAGUACAAGAGUAUAAUCCAGCAACUUUCAAACUAUGAUCUGAAGUCAGGUGGGAUUACCCGCUGAACUUAAGCAUAUCAAUAAGCGGAGGAA
rnacentral:rRNA from 1 species